UUUGAUUCUGUAAGGUAUGAAUAUUGUAAGAAAUGUACAAAUUUGAAGUUUUUUUUUUGUACAUCGUAUAAUUAAGUAACGCUAUAAACUUCUAAUUUUUACAUUAGGUAUAAAUCUGCAUCUACCACUCGCACGUUUAUGCAAUGUCAUGGGCCUACCUUGGAUUCAUUUGUUUUCGGAUUUGGAUACAUAUAUAUAAAUAAAUAGGGUCCGUUGGAUCUGAGACUAGGAUUUUAAAAGUCGGUUUUACCCUUUGCUAUCAAAAGUUUGACCAAGUCAUCUUCAAGUCACUGGCCCCGUCAAAGAAGGCGCGUAGGGGUUGUUAGGUGUGUUCGGUCCCUACUCCUAGCGAUCGUGAUUAUAAGAAGGAUCUGCGUUUCAGCACAUUCAAUUAUUUGACCAUUUCAUAAUUUUUCAUUUUAUAAAGAGUUUUUGGUCUGAAAAUUAGUUCUGACUUUACAUAAGAAACCCAAUUGAUUACCCCUAGUAUAACAACAAUUUGUAAGUCAUAUAAUUCACCCACUUGGAUCAUUAUCUUCUGUUAUUUUAAGUUCAUUCAUUUGGAAGAACCUUCUCUGCGCCAGACCAGAUUCAAGUGCAAACUCAUAUUAUAUGAUUUUUCAAAGAAAACUAUAUGAAAAUUGAGCAACUUGACAUAGAUUUUCAUGUGAUCUUAGCCAGCCAUGCACGACGUCCACACCAUUAUUGUAUUUGUUCAAACAACUGAUCAAUCUUGUCUGAGUCCAUGCAUCGCAUGCACCCCACUUCCUUUAAUAUACCCUUAAUUAAUUAUGUUACAUAGUAUUGCUUUUUUUGCUAGUAAUUAAAUAUUCCAUCGCUAGAUCAGACUUUUGAUUUUAAUAUUUGAACCAUUAAAAACUUAUAUAGAUGCGGUUACUUGUUUAUUUUAUCUUUUGUUUGGUUGUAAAAGGUUCGCUGUAUAUUUAAAGCCAAAAAGGUUAGAGACUUUUUGUUGCCGAUUAUGUUAAACUGGCUACAAAAUGGAUUUAGUGAUUUUUAAGAAAGAAAACAAACUACCAGCGAAUAUGUAAAUUUGGAUGCCGAUUCUAAUACAAUGGUUCCUAUGAUCUUUUACAGUUUCUUUCAUCACCACCACAUCAUAUUUCCUUAUAUAUUUAUUUUAAAACUUCAAUAUUUAGAAAUGGAAAAGGACUGUUUCGACUUGGGGGCCAAUUAUUAAUUGGACCCUAGAAGACCAAGUCAAGCCGUAUAAUAAAUCUUUCAAGCCGUGUAGAGUGUAGAGAAUAUAUAUAUACACUGCCGGGGCAAUUAUUAAAUGAUAAAUCCUUGAUUUCUCAUCCCUCUAACAAUAAGUGAAUAAACCCCCUCGAUUUCACGUUGUUUACUUACACCAGGACUGACUUACCCACAUCGUCUUCACCGUAUACAUUUCGCGCCGUGUAAAAUAAUACUUAACAUCUCUCGAAGGAUCAUAACAAGAUUACAAGAGCACUUCUUAUUCAUAAUUGACAUCACAGUUAGUUUACGAACCAAUAGCAUAGAAAUAAUACAAGACAAAUUCACUGUAACGAGAAACUUGUAGUCAAACCGUAGAUUAACAUUCAAAACUUCUUAUAAACAUCAUAGAUUCACAACAUAAAAGAAAACAUAUAUUUUAAAAAGCUUCUCAAACAUAGAUUGUUUAGUACUCUUUUCCUACUUCACUUAAUAAUACAAUCCAAUGCUAGUAAAAAAACACAGAUUACACUAAACAACUUAGGCUCAAAAAUUUCAUAAAAUCAAAAGAAAAGAAAGGUUCAAGAAGAGUCCACAAAUAAUGGCAAAAUAAAAAGGAAAAAAGAUAGUCAGGACAAGUAUGCCAACAAUAAACAUUCAAAUACUGACAAUCUUAAUUAAUAAUUGAUAAUCUGCUUUUAAUAAUCGGUAAUGUACUUUUGUUAAACACUGACAUCCAAUCUGGAAAUCAGUAAUGGCCACUUUGUAAUAUGUUCUUUCUUUUUGUAAAUAUAACAUCUAGUAAAGUAUGAAAAUGUGAAAAGAGAAAACAAAAAAUAAUUAAAAAUAUUUUUUUUUGAAAAAAUAAUAAUAACAAGAUUGAUGCGAAAAUGAUGAUAGGAAUAAAUAUCUACAAUUUAGAUUCAUUUAGUGAAAGAUGUUUUGAGAUUUCACUUUAAAUUGGAAAACAGACUUUAAAUUGGAAAAAUAUGGACAACGUGUAUGAUGUAUAACUAAAAAUAUACACCUAUACAAAUAUUGAUGAUCGUGAAUAGUCGUAAUAAACUAUUUAAAAAAAAUUAAAGCAAAGCAAAAAAAAAACUAAAUUUGGGUGAUAUCAGUUACAUAAAUUGUGCCAUAAGGAAAUCUCGACCAUUAACAUCCUUAAAAUUUUGAAUCUUUGAAAGGUUAGUUUAAAUUAAUAAUAUAUAGGCAAACAAAAUAGUCAACACAGAUCUUUAUCUCAAACAAAAUAACUUGUGAAAGGAAAAAAACAUGGAGAGGGGAUCUUCACGUGUAUUUUUAUUCAUCUUCUUCAUCAUGCUUGCUUCUGAUGCCAAUAAGGUGAUGGCAAAACCUUGCAACAACAAUUUAGGUGAUUGGCAACAAUGUGAUGAGAGGUGCAAAGCUAAGCACGGACCAACGUGUCAGGGUAGUUGUGACAACACUUUUAAACAAUGCAUCUGUAACAACGAGAGUGCAUCACCAGCGUCCAAAAUAUGCUAUAGCGGAGCUGGCCUGUGCACCACAAAAUGUUGGGACGAAUGUUGCAACAAAACUUGUGCUAGCAUGUAUUUGAACGGAGUUGGAUAUUGCGACAGCAUUGGCCAUAUUAAUCUAUGCAAAUGUCAGUAUCCUUGCUAACUAUUUGAUGUUUCCUGAUAAAACUGGUCAAUUUUAUAUUGAGAAAAUUCAGGUUAAAUAUCCUAAAUAAAUUAUUAUUAUUAU